CGAAAUGCGAUAAGUGAGGUGAAUUGCAGAAUUCAGUGAAUCAUCGAAUCUUUGAACGCACCUUGCGCUCCUUGGUAUUCCUUGGAGCAUGCCUGUUUGAGUAUCAUGAAAUCUUCAAAGUAAAUCUUUUGUUAACUCAAUUGGUUUCUACUUUGGUAUUGGAGGUCUUUGCAGCUUCACACCUGCUCCUCUUUGUUCAUUAGCUGGAUCUCAGUGUUAUGCUUGGUUCCACUCGGCGUGAUAAGUUAUCUAUCGCUGAGGACACUGUAAAAGGUGGCCAAGGUAAAUGCAGAUGAACCGCUUCUAAUAGUCCAUUGACUUGGACAAUACUUUUAUGAUCUGAUCUCAAAUCAGGUAGGACUACCCGCUGAACUUAAGC
rnacentral:misc_RNA from 1 species